ensembl:lncRNA
GGAAAUGAAAGUGCACUAUAAGGUGUGAAAUGUGUAGUGUUAACCAUAAUUUCUCCAGUUAGCACUGCGCGUGUGCAACAAUGAACUUUUUCUAUGCACUCCUCUUCUGUAUGGUGUCCUGCCUCUGUGGAAGUGAAGCAGCGAUCUGGUCCAGAUCUUGUUGCUUGAAAAAAUAUACAGCAAAAUAUCCACCUGUGAAAAAUGUUGUGGAUUGUAAAGUCCAGAGUGCAGGGGUUUGCCCCUUUGAUGCAAUCAUUAUCAAGACCCAUAAAGGCCGGAACCUCUGUUAUGAUCUAAAGGCAGAGUGGGUUAUUAAAAAUGUUGUGAUGAAGGGAAAAGACUCUUGUGAGGUGAUCAUUCCACAGAACAACCCCUAACCACUGAUAUGGCUUAUACUAAUGGUUCUUCAGUUAAG